ACCAACUUAACCCAGUGGUUAGAGUAUUGCUUUCAUACGGCGGGAGUUAUUGGUUCAAAUCCAAUAGUAGGUA
rnacentral:tRNA from 1 species